GAGCAUGGAGAGAUGGGGGAGAAUAUUCCCUGGUUUUCUUUUGUGUUGUCUUCUUUAUUAAAAUAUGCAUUCCAAUAGAUGUUGGUUAGCAUUUUUGGAAAAGCACAUUCCGAGCUUUUGGUUAUUGUUCAUCAUCAGUGACAUUAUGUGGAAGUUCUUUAGACGCUUUAUCCUUUGUUGGUUCUUUGAAAUUUUUUGGGGAAGAUGAUAAGAAAAAAUAAAAUCAGAGAAAAAAUGGGAUCAUUUCAUGGGUCCAGUUACAAAUAUUGGCCCAAUAACCAUGUCAUGGGGCCCAAAAGACGGAACCAUCACGAGCCGAGCUGGAGAUGAUCUAGUGGGGCGCGAGCUGCAUAUUCGGUAUUACUAUUCCCUCGUCCAAACUUCAAAACAGAUGUUGAGAAAACUGGAGGGAAAAUCCCAACGCUCCUGAGAAAAAGGAAAAGGAAAAAAAAUGCAAAUGCUCAGAAGGCGUCUGAGGUUAAUCUCUUCUUCAGAUGAAGAAGAAGAAGAAGAACAGCAGCAAGCACCUGCUGCGAGUCACGAAGCUGUUACUCCAGUCUCUGCUAACCCUAACCCUAACACCUCUGAGCCUCUCCCAGUUGACAUCUCCGAUGAUGAUUUCGUCGACGUCUCCGAAAAUUUCUCGACACCGUCUCCCCCACCUGCUCAAACUUCCGGCCAGUCCUUCCAGUCAUCGUCCUUCGAACCGCCUAGUUCCGGCUCUAUCUCCGGCGAAAGCUCCAAUCCGAUCGGCGACUUUCUUCGGGGGCUUGGGCUGUGUUUGCGGAGAGAAUGGUUGGAUUCUUGCAUUCGCGGUCUCGAAAGCUCUGUUCCUGGCUUUGCGAGUUUGGAUGUGGCUGGAAAAGCGAAGCUCUGUUUCGAGCAGUUUCUGUGUUCUGACAUGAAUUACUCUGGUGCCGGUGUUCUUCCCCAAAAUGUUGAUUCGAUGCAUCUUGUUGAUCUCGCAGGGCCAUUUGUGUUGCAGGUAGAUGAGAUAGUUAAUAUCAGUGCUCCUCUUCGAGGCAGGUAUCAAAAUGCAGCUUCUGGUAUUAAAAGGUGCCUCAAAUUGUCCAUGACCGAUGGUAUUCAGCGUGUGUUUGGCAUGGAGUACAGGCCUAUCAAAGAUAUUGAAGUUUUGGCUCCUGCUGGAUUGAAGAUUGCCAUCUGUAAUGUAAAUAUACGACAUGGACUUUUCAUGUUGGUGCCUGAGGUUUUUGAGAUUCUAGGAGGAUCGGUUGAGGAGUUGGAAGCAGCACGACAAAGGCUGGUUCAUGAAGUAAAUAAACCACCUAGAGGGAAAAGAACAAAGAAUGGUGUCGUUCCUCCUUUAGCAACUAGAGCUACUCUUGCAGCAUGGCCAUCAAGUGGUGUUGGUGUUUUUGGGCGCACAAAUAGUUCCACAUCCCAAGGUGCUACUCCAUUUCAGGCGCAUGAUCAUGGUGCUACUUCAGUUGCUCCUGGCAUUGGUGUCAAUGAAAGGUCUACAGAAGAGUUCAAUGUUGCUGUUAGGAGGGAAAAUGCUGUGCCUAAUCCAUCAUCUAACAAUGUUAUGGUUGUUGAAGAGGUCGAUAUGGUUACUGAUUCCAUUGCUUCAGCGGCAGUCAGCAAUGAUACUGGUGAAAGGAUGAGGGAAGAGCAUACCGUUCCUGUUUGCAGGGACAAUGCUGUGCCUAACCUGUCCUCUAAUGCUGUUUCAGAUGCUGCUGAGGUCCAUAUGGUUGCUGUUCCCAUAACUGGGGAAAAUGAUGUACCUAACUCAUCCCAUAAUGCUGUUUCUGAUGUGGAGGAGAUCCCUAUGGUUGAUGAGGCUGACCACCCACUGAUACUAACUGGAGAGAGAGAGAUCCCUUUCACUUACUUAGCUAGUUUGUCGGCCAAGUGGGCUGGAAGGAAGGAGAAAGCACCUUUUGUUCAGGGAAAAAUUAAGUGCUUCUUGACUGGUGUAAAGGGAUUCCAAUAUAAGCAAAGGACUACAUUUGAUCUUCGGGUUUAUGUUGAUGAUGGUAGCCUCAUCUCUGAGAUCCUUAUUGAUCACAAUGUUGUACAGCAAGGAAUAGGUUAUUCUCCUAAGGAGGUCACUGCUGCUCUUGCUUCUUCAGACGUGAAAAUAGUUAGUGGCAUGAAGGACACCCUGAAACAGUUCCAAAUUUUCUUAGCGAAUUUUGAGGGUACAAUGGUUGUAGAGAUAAAUGAAACCUCCCCUCUUCCAAUUGCCCUUGAGAUGGUGCAGGGCUGUCCAGCAUCUGAUGCAUGGUUGCUUCUGAGAAGACUGAAGUCCUUCACUUCUAUUCAAGCACCACGGAAUUCCCCCUUGGAGCCCAUUGAUCUAUCCCCUUGAUGAACUCAAUCCAUGCAUUUGAGUAACAGGAUUUUUCUUUGGGAUGACUCUUGAGAUGCAUAGUUCAUAACCCAGUUCCGAAAACAAGCUGCAAGGGCAUUGAACUUGUUUGAUGAAAAAUGCUCACUAGAUUGCCUGGUUGCUUAAGCUAUUGUCUCGGUUGAUUCUUUGCAUAUAUAAACACUGCUACGAGAGGGUGAAUUUUGAAGGGAGCUUGCAUGUCAUGACAUUCCUUUAAUUUUCUUGGAGUAUUUAUUGAUUGGUUCUAGUCGAAAUUCAGGUCCAAAAACAAUUGGUAGACUCAUUCAAAUUUUGAGAUCAAUUCGGAGCAGUUCACCUAAUGCAGUUUGGUUGGCAUAUGGAGGAGAACAAGACACAUUGUUUACUCUGAAAAUGUGCCCUUGAGGCCUAGCUCAAACAGUAAAGAGAUGGGGAGCAUUUGUGGGAGAUUCCAGGUUCAAGUCGCAAUGGGGGCAAAAUUUACCUAUUAAAAAAAAGAAAUUGUUUACUCUGAAAAUGUGAAUCAAUCAGAUAUCAGUGGGGAGACCAUCCAUGAGAUUGCCAAGGAGAAGAAAAGACAAUUUUCUUGUCAUCAGCUAAAUAUAGCUGCACCAACCAGGGAGCGCUAUCAAAGGCCCUUUUUUUGUCAAUCUACUAAAGUAAUCUCAACACCCUCAUUUGUUAACCAGAAACCCACGAGCCCCAGAGAUGUCCAGGAUCUUCUUGCUGAGUGUUUCCGAUUCCCCUGGCCUAGCAAGAUAGAACAACCGGAAACACCACUCGAUCACCUCAGGGCACAACACCUUCCACAAGUAGGUGACCCUGAACCACGAUGGCUCCGUCAGGUAUUUCUCUCCCCUGCAAGCGCUCUUUACAAUUGCCUUGGCACAUGCUUCUGCCCUGCCAACUGGGAUUAUGCUCACUUGAGCCUAUUAAAGAAAUCAUCUUUCAGUUAGUAUCAAAUAGGUUUGAUGCAUGGGCAAGCAGAUGCAAAUGCAGUAAGGUUAGGCGGAAGAGUGAUUACAUCUCUCAUGUCUUGAUCCACUUCUAUUUGGUCUUCAUUCUUUAGGAAUUCUCCUUGAGUCAUUUCAGAUUCUAUAAACCCAGGAGUCACAACUGUUAUUCCUCCGAUGUCGGACCCGAGUUCAAUCCUCAAUGUGUCGUAGAAGCUUAUUAAUGCUGCUUUGCUGGCCUGCAGUCAACAUCCAUCCUAGUAUUAUAAGAACUCAUCUCUAACCAUCCAUGAUGAAAAUAUUAGUUUUAUUCUUGAUGGAAAUUCUUAUUUAUUUAUUUUUUUUUACAAAAA